rnacentral:snRNA from 1 species
UGCCUCAGCAGCAAUAUACUAAAAUUGGAAUGAUACAGAGAAGGUUAGCACGUCCCCUACACAAAAAUGACAUGCAAAUUCAUGAAGCAUUACACACACAC